GAGAACACUGUGAUGAUGAUCGGUUUUACACAUGUGCAAGUAAUACCGUCUUCUUACUGUCGUUGACACUAGCUAUGGGUGGUCAACCAUACACAACAUGAGAUGGGAUUGCCAUAUAAGUGGUGUAACGCCCCCUCCAAGGGCUCGUGGGUGAGGAGGAAGACGCAACCACCCAAGAACGUGCACGCCGGAUAAGGGUCUACCGAAAAGGGGUGAGUGGCCUGGCUCAAUAUGGAACAAUGAGAAACCAGACAACCAAGUAGACAUUACCCAAAAGCUGGGGUUUUAUUCUCCAUAUAUAUGUGUAAGAAUUAUAUAAUGGAUAACAAAUAUGACUCAGCUAAACAA
rnacentral:lncRNA from 1 species